UACGAAGGGGGCUAGCGUUGCUCGGAAUCACUGGGCGUAAAGCGCACGUAGGCGGCUUUCUAAGUCAGGGGUGAAAUCCUGGAGCUCAACUCCAGAACUGCCUUUGAUACUGGGAAGCUCGAGUCCGGAAGAGGUGAGUGGAACUCCGAGUGUAGAGGUGAAAUUCGUAGAUAUUCGGAAGAACACCGGUGGCGAAGGCGGCUCACUGGCUCAUUACUGACGCUCAGGCGCGACAGCGUGGGGAUCAAACAGG
rnacentral:rRNA from 1 species